GAAGAUGCCCGUACCGCAGCGCACGAGACCCCAGCUUUUCCGGGGCGGCUGCACUGUCAACUCAAUGCCUAGCAAGGAUGCGUCCGGCUGGGCAUAAAGACAGCCCGGCCCGCUAAGCAGAGAAAGCUUCCCCUUCACCACCAGGCUGCUGACAGGUGGGGUCUUGCUAUGUAGCCCGGGCUGGCCUUGAACUCCUGGGCUCAAGUGAUCUUCCCGAGUAGCUCAGACUACAGGGAUGCACCCUGCACCAGGCUUAAAGUGAGUUUUUGAAAAGAGAUCUCACAUGAAAAGAUGCUUGACAUCAUUAGUCAUCAGAGAGGCGCAAAUUGAAACCACAGUGAGACACCACUUCAUACCCACUCAGAAUCAAAGGGACAAUAACAACUGUUGGCGAAGAUGAGGAGCAAUUGGAACCCUCAUUCAUUGCUGGUGAGAUUGUGAAACGGUGCAUCCGCUUUGGAAAACAAUCUGGCAGUUCCUCAAAAGAUUAGCUGUGGAGUCACCACAUGACCCAGAGAUUCCACUCCCUGGCCGUCUCCCAAGAGAAAUGAAAAUAUAUUAAAUCCACACAAAAACUUGUACACAAAUCCCAUAGCAGCACUAUUUGUGAUAGCCAAAAUGUGAAAAUCAACCAAAUGUUUAUCAACUGAUGAUGGGUGGAUAAAUAAAAUGUGAUGUAUGCCUACCUGGGAAUAUUAUUCAGCCACAAGAUUGAAGUACUGAUGCACGCCACAGCAUGGAAGAAUCUAAGCAAAAGUAGCCAGCCACGAAAGGCCACAUGUUAUACAAUAUCACGUAUAUGAAAUGUCCAGGAUAAGCAAAUCCGCAGGGACAGAAAGUGGAUGAGCUGUUCCCAAGGGUUAGAGGGCGAGGGAAUGAGGGGUGAGGAGUGGCUGUUGACGGGGAUUAUUUGGGGAAUAAAAAAGAU
rnacentral:lncRNA from 10 species